rnacentral:rRNA from 1 species
AUUGAACGCUGGCGGCAUGCCUUACACAUGCAAGUCGAACGGCAGCACGGGUGCUUGCACCUGGUGGCGAGUGGCGAACGGGUGAGUAAUACAUCGGAACGUACCUUAUCGUGGGGGAUAACGCAGCGAAAGCUGUGCUAAUACCGCAUACGCCCUGAGGGGGAAAGCGGGGGAUCGCAAGACCUCGCGCGAUUAGAGCGGCCGAUGCCUGAUUAGCUUGUUGGUGGGGUAAAAGCCCACCAAGGCGACGAUCAGUAGCUGGUCUGAGAGGACGAUCAGCCACACUGGGACUGAGACACGGCCCAGACUCCUACGGGAGGCAGCAGUGGGGAAUUUUGGACAAUGGGGGCAACCCUGAUCCAGCAAUGCCGCGUGAGUGAAGAAGGCCUUCGGGUUGUAAAGCCCUUUUGUCAGGGAAGAAACACCGGCUCUAACACUGUCCGGGAAUGACGGUACCUGAAGAAUAAGCACCGGCUAAUUACGUGCCAGCCGCCGCGGUAA